rnacentral:lncRNA from 1 species
GACUAGCUGGUCAUGCCAGUAUCAUUGAUUCAUCCCUCAAAGACAAAGAACAAUUCAGGAGAUGGAUUUAGGAGAGGAUUAGGAUCCGGUAUUUCUUCUACUUCACCAUUUUCCUGAGCUCACCUCCUGUGAGAAUCUCCAAGGCUGGCUUCGUGAUUCCAGGACUCUAAGCUCCAGAAGUCACAUCUAUUUCACUCGCUGGAAAGUAAGAAUUACAGUCACAUUGGUACUGGGGAAGCUGCUGUGUGGACGAUAGUGAGCUAUCUAUCUGGGGCUUCUACUUCAUGUUUUUGUGACAACUGUGGAUGUUGCUCUGAUGACAGAGUGCUUGCCUAGCAUGCAGGAAGCCAUGGGGUAGAUGCU